CUACACAAUGUCCUCUACCCGUAUACUCCACGUUUAUACAUUUUGAAUGUAUGAAGUGAUUUCUCAUUAGAGUCAUGAGAAAUAGUGGGAGGUGUGAAAAAGGAUAUAAACUUGAAUAUGAUUGGUUUAUAGUUGUCUAAAGAAUAAUAGUACUUGACUAUUAUUAAGAGUUCGUAAUUUUAAUUGUUAAAGGACUCAAGCUCUUCAAAAGUUAAAAUUCUAUGUUGUGUAACAUUCUAAAGAAUAGUCUUUGAAUGGUUUCGUCAACCUAACAUAAAAUGGUUAUAUGUUGGGAGUUGUCCAUCAUUCUCUUUUAUGAGAACAAGCUAAUAACAAAGCGUAUGGACAAAUUUGAUGAAACAAAAGGGAAUAGUUUUAAAAUGAGUCACAACAUAUGGUUUAACAACAAGACAAUCCAAAUUCGGCACCUCUUGUAACUAUAACGCUCUAUGUAGUUUUGAUAAAGAAUUAUAUCAACCACCUAGAAGGAAUGGUUGAGUUUCUAUAUCCUUAGUAGGAGCCAUGCUUCCACUAAAGACUUGGAUAAUUCUUAUAUGACUACAUUAAAGGUCUUAGUAUGACUAAAACUUGGAGUAUGGUGUAUGACACCAUAUAAUUUAAAUGAAUAGGCUUGAUAAAACAAGUCACACAUAUCAAAUGGAAUUACUUGAGAAGGAAUUCUUUUAUGUAUGUUCGUUUAAAUAACUUGUGUUAGCUAGAGUUGUUGAUAGUCCCAAAAUUGUUGAGACAUCAUCAAUAAGCUAAUGGAUCUUAAUGAUUGUCAAUAGAUCCAAGACAAGUUAGUCGGAGCAAUAUGCAUUCAAAUCAAGAAAAUGUAAGUGUUAAAUUUUUUAAUGAAUGCUAAGUUACAACAAGGCCAGUGGGAGUGAUGUCAUAAUUUGAGCAACAAGAUAUGAAUAAAUUCACAUAGAUGUUACUCGAAAAAAUGACAAAACGUGACACGGUCAAUUUUAAAGUAUAGACUUGAAAUUGGACUUAUUGAUAUAGCAAGGCUAUCUCAAGAAUGUUUAAUGGGGAAAUUAAAUCUCAAAUGUUGAAGAUUUGAGAAGGUGUUUUCCUAUAUGAUAGAAAAUCACUUUCAUAACCCUUAUAAUGAAUGUGUCAUAAAAUCACAAAAGGGACACAUGUAUGGACUUGUGAGAUGAUAUCCAAAGGUGAAAAGCCACAUGGGUUGUCACUUUAAGAUAUUACUAUAGCCCAGGAUCAGAACCAUAGCAACUGAUAGAGUAUUAUUGCCUUUAAGAAAGGAACAUCAGAGUGGGACUCUGGAAGCGUGCAUUCACUUAGGUUAUUAACCAAAGUGAAAAAUAACCCAUUUUAACAAAUGGAACUUCAUAAUGGAUGAAGUACUAAUCAUAUGAAUGUAUUGUUAGUAUUGUACUACAAUGGUCUCAAGGUUAGAGCAAAGUAUGUAUAAAGUAUACAAACGAAAUAUAUGGCGAUAUAUUGUUUUAGAAACUGCUUCAAAAGGUGUUUUGAAUAGAAGGGGUUCUUAUAGAACCAAUGAUUGAAUCCAAACCAUAAGGUUGUUAGUUGGACACUACGACGUAAUGGGGCGAUAGCUCAAGCCAUGGAAUCAAGGUCUCAUCAAAGUAUUUGAACACAAGAAAGAGACACCAUCAAAUGUUUUAGAAACAUUUGAUAAGUAAAUCCCUUUUAUAAAUUAAAAGGAUUAAUACAUAACCAAGUUAACCUACGAGCAUAAGCUCACUCAACUUGUAUCUAUGAGAUACACUAGUGAUUGACUUUAGUGCAAGUGGGAGAUUGUUGGAAAUAUGCCCUGAAAGUCAAUCUUUGGAAGAAACCUUUCAGGACAAUGAAUGUGUGUAUAGAUGACACUUAUACAUCAAAAGGCAAAGAUACUAAUUAGGACUAUCUCAAUAAAGGAUAUAUGUCCUAAAUAGUGAAUCCAUGGACAAUGGAUCGAUGUAAGAAGUAAUCUAAUGAUGUUAGACUACAGAGACCUUCUUCACAUAACCAUCAUGUCCAAAAAGGUUCCUGGUCAUAGGAUUGUCGGAGGGAUACUGACAAUGCAUAGACGGUACAUACUAUGUCCGCUUCAAUUGGAAGGAUGGAAAGUCUCGUCCCAUUCGUGUAGUGACACUAAGACAGGCAUGUAGGUGCUCAUUAAGGGAAUGAGUUCACUGAACACAAUCAAACGAAAGUACUUGCAUGGAGGUCUACUCACAUGUCAAGCAAGUAACUUUAAUGGUUGGAAUAAUGUAAGUAGUCCUUUGACCUGAGGCAUCAUAGUUGUCUUGUGGUUAGGUACUUGAUCUUUGAUUAUGUCAAAGUCACUCCAUCCGCGGGUGUCCACGGCAUAGUUGGGGUUAAGCCACUUAGUCAUGGAGGCAAGUGAAUGCGCAACAAGGAAUCUCUAAUCCUCGUUAAGAGAGGAUGAAUACUCUAAUAUAUGAUUGGGGAAUCUUCGGCCGAAGUAUCGAGCGUAAUAAAGGAAAGCGUUCCUAUACGACUCAAAUGAAUCAUAUAAGAAGGAAUAAUCACAUUAGGGGUUUGACAUAAUAUAUCCAUACCCUAGUAAUGUGAUUGAGAGUAUUGUUUUAGAGGAGGAUCGAAUUACAUUGUAAUUCCAACUGAAUAGGUUCUCCGAACAAAUUCU
rnacentral:lncRNA from 1 species